rnacentral:sRNA from 1 species
GCCAGGCUCUGUGGCACUUGCCUGUAAUCCCAGCAGCGUGGGAGGCUGAGGCAGGUGGAUCAUGAGUUCAAAGCCAGCCUCAGCAAUGGUGAGGUGCUAAGCAACUCAGUGAGAACCUGUCUCUA